UACGGGAGGCAGCAGUGGGGAAUAUUGCACAAUGGGCGCAAGCCUGAUGCAGCCAUGCCGCGUGUAUGAAGAAGGCCUUCGGGUUGUAAAGUACUUUCAGUCGUGAGGAAGGUGUUAAGGUUAAUAACCUUAGCAAUUGACGUUAGCGACAGAAGAAGCACCGGCUAACUCCGUGCCAGCAGCCGCGGUAAUACGGAGGGUGCGAGCGUUAAUCGGAAUUACUGGGCGUAAAGGGCACGCAGGCGGUUAAUUAAGUUGGAUGUGAAAUCCCCGGGCUUAACCUGGGAAUGGCAUUCAAGACUGGUUAGCUAGAGUCUUGUAGAGGGGGUAGAAUUCCAUGUGUAGCGGUGAAAUGCGUAGAGAUGUGGAGGAAUACCGGUGGCGAAGGCGGCCCCUGGACAAAGACUGACGCUCAUGUGCGAAAGCGUGGGGAGCGAAACAGGGAUUAAUACC
rnacentral:rRNA from 1 species